rnacentral:rRNA from 1 species
GUCGUAACAAGGUCCCGUUAAGUGAACCUGCGGAGGGAUCAUUA